GAAAGAUUGAAAGAGAGCCUAAUGACAGCUAAUGGGAAAUAUACACACUGCAGCUUGCAAGUAGCCUGUUCCUCCAACUAAUCUAAUAUAUUCUCAGAAACAGAAACUACCACAAAAAUUUGACACAUCUCAAAUCCCAAGACCGACAGGGUAAGGAAAACCGAUAUCAUCAAAUUUGUAAAUUUCUAACAAAAUCAUGCAAUAGAAGAACUUAAUUUAUCAAAAUUUAAUGCAUGUGAUAUCCCAACUACAAACAACAGCUAAACUUAAUGAAACAAAACUCAUAGGUACCACAACAGAAUUUGUCCACAAGAACACAAUAACAUGACAUGGAAUUCCAGAUAGUGAUAUGCUCCUUAAGCACCCUUGUCUGCUUUUGCAGCUGUGGCUGCUGCCUGUCCUCGGAGACGGCCAGUUCUCCUUGCAGCAAUGAGACCAACCUUUUGCCCAGGAGGGGCAUCACGGCGAACAGUACUAGCAUGCCCAAUGUGCUGGUGGUUACCACCACCAUGAGGAUGCUCCACAGGAUUCAUAGCAACACCACGAACCUUAGGCCAGCAGUUCCUCUUGACUCUGUAUUUGUGAUAUGCAUUUCCAGCCUUUAAUAGAGGUUUCUCAGUCCUGCCUCCACCUGCAACUUGACCAACCAUCGCACGGCAUCCACUUGGCACAAUUUUCUUCGCUCCAGAAGGAAGCUUGAUUCUAAACAAACAUAAUCAACACCCACAUAGGAAAAAUCAUAACGGGAAAGACAGUGGAUGCAUCAAACCAAAGGAAAAAUUCAAUUUGUAGCUAUUAAACUCAAUGGUGGCUGUCUUGAAAAUGCUUCAAGUUGAAGCUCAACUAAGAUAUUAAUCAAUUUACCAUGAUAAUCUCAACUAAAGCUUUUUCCAGUUUAACUGAUUACAAAAGAAUGGCAACAAUUUAGAACAAUAAGACCUGCAGGACAGCAUAUCACAAGUAGCUUCAGGAACAAGAAGAGUCGGAUGUUCAACAAAUAUCUCCUUUACGCAUCCAUAAUAAACAAACGCUGAAGCACGCUUAAAUUCAGCCGCAAAACAUGAAACAGAAAUAACAAACACGAUUUUCUGAAAUUGAUGAAGGUAAAAGUUCAAUGCUAAUUUAUGUUCCACACAAAUUCAAAGCUCAAACCAACAUAUAACACAUACUUAACAUUUCUGAAUUAAAAGGGCAAUAAAAACACUAAAAAAUGCCAAAACAAAACUCAAAGUAUCAAGCAAAGACUACCUGGUCGUUCCAUUAUCUGGGUUAUGGCUAAUAACAAUAGCAUAAUCCCCAGAACAUCUAGCGAAGACUCCUCUGUCACCCACAUGAUGUUCCACAUUACACACAACAGCUCCCUCAGGAAUCGAUCUCAGAGGUAACACAUUUCCAACCAUCAAAUUCGCCUUCUUUCCACAGUAAACAAACUGACCAGUAUACAUCCCCUCAGCAGCAACGAAUAGCUCCUUCUGGUGCUUGUAGCGAAAUGGGUGGCGAAAGGUGACUCUAGCGAGCGGCGCGCCACGACCCGGAUCAUGGAUAAUGUCGGUGACCACUCCCUUAAGGUAUCCAUUGCGCUCUCCAAAGUCCAGAGAGCGGAACCUGGCAGGACCCUUCCGGUGGUGGGUGUGGGACUUAAAGACUGAACCAGCACCCUUACGCUGGGCACGGAUAACGCGACCCAUCUCAGUUUUUCAAGGGUUCUAAUGAAGGUAGAGGGAGAGGGAGAGGCAGAGAGAGGGAGCGGCAGCUUGUAGACAGAAAGAAGGGAAAGGUUGGGGGAUUAUAUAGUUAGG
rnacentral:misc_RNA from 1 species